rnacentral:rRNA from 1 species
AGAUUGAACGCUGGCGGCAUGCCUUACACAUGCAAGUCGAACGGCAGCACGGGAGCAAUCCUGGUGGCGAGUGGCGAACGGGGUGAGUAAUAUAUCGGAACGUGCCCAGUCGUGGGGGGAUAACGCAGCGAAAGCUGUGCUAAUACCGCAUACGAUCUAUGGAUGGAAGCGGGGGAUCGCAAGACCUCGCGCGAUUGGAGCGGCCGAUAUCAGAUUAGCUAGUUGGUGGGGUAAAAGCCUACCAAGGCGACGAUCUGUAGCUGGUCUGAGAGGACGACCAGCCACACUGGAACUGAGACACGGUCCAGACUCCUACGGGAGGCAGCAGUGGGGAAUUUUGGACAAUGGGCGCAAGCCUGAUCCAGCAAUGCCGCGUGCAGGAUGAAGGCCUUCGGUUGUAAACUGUCUUUGUACGGAAGAACGUUCUCUCUAAUCAGGGCUAAGUGACGGUACGUAAGAAUAAGCACCGCUACUACGUGACCG